GCGCCGUUAGCUCAGUUGGUAGAGCAUGGAAAAUCCCGCCUUGAAAAAAGCGGUAACUGCAACUACUUUCGUCUUUCUAACGCCAGUGUCACCUGUUCGAUUCAGGUACGGCGCACCA
rnacentral:tRNA from 1 species